UUAGAGGUGCUUAUGCAAGUAGAUAAGCUCAAAUAAGCCAAAUCAAAGAGGAGCUUGUUUGGAUUUACUUAUUUGAGCUUAUGUAUUGGCAUAAGAACUUUGCAA
rnacentral:pre_miRNA from 1 species